AUUAAAAAAUGUUUUGAAUCAUCAUCCAGUUCCACCUGUUGAUACAUUUGGGAUAGGUCUAAUUUCGUAAAUCUGUCACCACCUGCUAGUUUUGUGAACAAAUCCUAUGGUUUUGGAAUGGGAUAUUGAUCAUCUUCCAACCAUGGGUUGAUUGAUACCUUG